GGGCUAAUUAAAAAGCUAAAAUAUUUUUCUCUUUUAUUUUUAAAAUUUUUUUUUGCCAGUGGGGGCCACAAGCUGCAUCCGCCCCUACAAUCCCUCACAUGGGUGUUUUAUAAGUGAAUUAGAAAUAGCACACCCAAAGCAAAGAUAAAUGGAUGAAAAUACUGCAUACUUUAUUCAUAUUGAAGUUGCCUUUUUUAGGCAUUACAUGAACAAACUUAAGAAAAUAAUAAGAGCCAUUAUCCACCAAAUAUUGCAGCAACUCUCCAGUAAGAAUAACCUAAAGACAAGGUAAACAUAAUUUUGCAAAUAACACUACUAAACUUCCAAAAGACUAGGACCACAAAAAAACACUUUAUUGACACAAUUAAGGAAUUUUCAACAGGUUUUACUAUUAUUUAAUUUAAGCCCAUUAAAUUUAUUAAAAUAACCUUUACAAACUCACUAAUCUAUAAAAUUUUAGUUUUUAUAUUUUAUCAGUAUGUAAUUUAACCUCUGAUAAAUUGUUUUCAUGAAGCCGCCACUAAGUUCAUCACUCUUUCGAACCUUUUAGUCGUCGUAAGGAGCUAGAGUAAGUUUUGCAGAAUUAGGGCAUGCGAGAGCUCAUUGUAAAUGUAGAAAAUUCUUAUCUCCUACACCUUCUUAAUUCUCUUUUAUCAUGAUAAUAUAUGCUUUUAUAUAAAAUUUAUUUACUUCUAAAAAGAAUUUUAAAAAGCGGCUCCACGCAUCAUUAUCAUGAUUCAGUAUAUCUUUAACAAAGCUGAAGGCUUGCAGCUUUCAAACAGAAAUAAUAAUUUUGAUGACGCUAUUUUUCCGGUAUAAAAGGAAAAAGAAAGUAAUCAGUGGUUGCAUAUGUGGAAGGCAUCAACUCACAAUGGACAACAAAUCUAAGUAACCCAAAUCAAUGAGUUUUGAAAUUUACGCCACCAUGUCACUUUUCUAGACUAAAACAUUGCGCUAAUAGAGCAUCAUUCUAUUAAUUAUGUCGUCAUCACUGACAUCAAGUCUAUAUCCAUAUUUGCAGCGGAAGCAGAUCAAGAACAGUCCUCUUAAAAAUAUCUUUAAUUUUAUACAUAUUAAGAAUUUAAGAUAUAUCAAUAAUGUAAUUUAUUAAAAUUAAACAUUUAAAAAUUUUAAUAUUUUAUUUUUAUAUAUAGACCCGACCUCAUAUUUUUUUUCUCUCCUCUUUUUUUUUUUUUAUUUGCCAUUGCACUCUCUUUCUAUCUUCUCUUCUCUUAGCUUUUUAAUCCCUCACUUUGGUUUGAUUUUUUUUCUCAAUCACAAAAAAUUCUUUACUCUCUCAAGAUUUGAUAUGUUGUCAUAUUUUUAUAAUUUUUUGAAUUUUGUUUUCUACAGUUAAUUUUAGUUUUACCCCUCAUAAAUGAAUACACAUGAAUUAGAUUAGUCAGCCAAAAUGUAGAAAGAAUGAAGAACAGGGAAUCAACCUCUUUUUGAAGCCCUGCAACCACCUUUUGAAUUUAAAGGAAUUGUGAGCAGUUGCCUCCUUCGGGAAAAUUUACAGCCCAUAAAAUAUAUAUAUAUAUAUAUAUAUAUAUAUAUAUAUAUAUAUAUAUAUAUAUAUAUAAGUACAACAAUAUACUAAAUCUUUUAUGCUUUCAAACAUUUAGCGAGAUGAAUUCAGAGAGAGAAACGGCUCAUAAAAGAAUAAAACAGAGAAUGAGGGAUUAAAUAUUUUUAAUAUUUAUCUUAAAUAAAUUCUAUCAUCAAUUUAUCUUAAAUAAAUCGAAUAUUAAUUGAGUAUAAAUUAAGAAUAUUUUUUUAAGAGACUUGACUUGCUCCAUCUUUAUUAUAGGACUAGAAAAUAGAACCGCGCUUCAAGCGACUUUGAAAAAAGAAUUUAAUAUUAUUCUUUUUUUUUACUUUACACUUGAUGAAACGGAUAAAAAAUAUGAAUUAAUUUUUUUUAAGAUGAGGCAACCUUAUAAAAAAAAACUAUUAGCAAGCAAUACAAAUAAAGAAACAACGCAAGAUAAAGAAUAAAAUGAGAGAAUAUAUUAUAGAUUGAUUUUAUUCAUUUCAAUUGUGUGUGUACAAAACAAAAAGAUGAGCUCUCCUUUUAUAGUUACAUAAUCACUCCAUGAAAUUAAUGAAAAAUUAUGGAUCAUAAUUCUUUGUGAGAUAGUGGGAGUUAUAGGGAAGCUAAAGGUUGCUAAUGGGAGAUAGUGGGGAGACUAAGAGAUAUAUGUUAUGAACAUCUACAUUUAUUUUAAUAAAUUUAUAACACUUCCCCUUAGAUGUUCAUUACAAAGAAUAUACCUCAUUAAAAUCUUUACAUAAUUGUUAUUGUGUAAUAACAAUCAAAUUAAUUAUGAGAAGAUGAAAAGCCAAAUCUAAAAGAAAAUUUCUCUAUUUAUUAGAUAAUAGAGAAUAUACAAAGAUGAAAAAUGAUGAUGUCACAUCACCUCCUCAAGUUCCAGCUUUAUAUAUAUGUAUAGAUAGAUUGAUAAUCAUUAUUUGAUUUUUUUUCAAAAUUUGUGCGGCUACUUAAAAGGAAAAUAAAGCAACAUAGUUAGUGGAGCAUGAAAACGAAUACCGCUGUCACAUAGACUGCCACGAUUAUGCUGCUAAGUAAAAGUCAAAAUUGUUCUCCUCCCUUCUCCCUCCUCCCUCCUAUAUUUGAAAGCACACAUUUCAUUCUAACGUAGAUAUCUAAGAGAUUGAUUAAAAGUCCAUACCGUAUGUGUUGGAGGAGCACGAUUGCCACCAAUAAUGGAAUAGGUAUGGCCGUAUGGGCACGUUCGGUCAACGUCUUCUCUUCAGUUUUAACAUAGCCAACGUACACAUGUAAAGAUUUGUAAAUAUCAACAGACAUUAAGUGAAUUAUUAUAUUUUCAGUUUUUGAAAAUAAAUAUUUUUCCAACAAAAAUCUAAAAUAUAAGUGUAAAUUAUGAAAUGGGAUGGGUGUAAAAAUUUUGUUAAAAGAAAAUCUCAUUUAAUUGUUUAAUUGACACUACUAGAAAAAUGGUCUUUAUUGACUUUAGAAUAAUGUCAUAAAUUACUUUCAAUGACACUUGUUAAUUGUGUCAAUAAUCUGGGAGUCAGAAAAAUAAUGACACUUGCAAGUAGUGUCAGUAAUUAUUAUUACUACAGUAUCACCGAUAUUAUGACACCAUAGUAUUAGUAGUUAUUGAUAUUUUAUUAGUGUCUAUGAUUACUGUUACAUGGUAUCACUAGUUAAUUUAUUUUAAAAAAAUAAAAAAUUGAAUUGGAUCAUUGCCUAUUGAUUUAUUGGUAAAAUUAAAAGGCACCACACAAUAACAAAAAGAAAUUGAUUUAUAUCACAAAAUCUUUCAUUUCACAUUUAAAUAUUAUUAGUAUAUAUUACAAAUUCAAAAACUUCAAUAACAAAAAUAUGAGAUAUCCUACUCUCAUAGCUAAAUAAUCCAAAUUCAAUACAUAAAAAUUUCUACCAUCCAAUCAAAUGCCUACUACUUGUGGCUAAAUUUAAUAAAUCUAGAAGCUAAAUUGAGAAGGAUGACUGCCUUUCACUCUUUGAAUAUGAGUAGUAUAAUUGUGUUAUCACACCAGCAGCUUCUCCAUUCAAUAGACUGUAUGGGUUAGGAUAUAAGUGAAGUUGAGGAAUAAACACUUCAAAUACAUUGAUCAAAUCUGCAUAUGAAUACAUGGAAAAGAAAAAAAAAUAGCUGCCAAUAUCCAGCCAUUAGAGAAACAACAAUUAACAGAAAUAAAAUUAUUUUGUUCUAAAGAAAAAAAUACUCAUAAGCUAUUUAUAAAUAAAUUCAAUUAUUCUCUUUUGGUAAAGGUUAUAUAUAUAGCAAACUAUAACAGACAAGAAGUUUUUAAUGUAAUAUCUACUUUCAACACAAGUAUGUUACUCUAUCUACAUAUACCAAAUGAAUUUUGUGCAUAGUUAAAAGCUAUCACAAAUGCUCUAUUAUAAAUAAAUCACCACUCAUUUCCUCAAUUUAUUCAUUCUAAAAGCUUAUUUAACAAGGCAAAAAAUAAGUUCUCAAACUGCAGUUUCCUUAAACUGGGCAUAAAAUAACUAUGAAUCUUCAUAUUUAUAUUAGGCAUAAUAAAGUUUGGACAUAAAAUAUUUCAAUAAUUUGAGAGUUCGAUCCAAAAUUAUUACUACUAAAAGAAAUAAUAUUUGCAAACUUAGUUAAGCCUUUAUAAAGUGAGUAUGAGAUUUAUUAUACUACUUAAAUCUAUUCAUAUGAACCAUUAAAGAUUAUCACCCUAAAUUGUAAUUAAGUAUUCAUUAAUUUGGCCUAAUUAUAAAACUUUAAGAAGAUAAAAAAAAGUAGAAUAAAAAUAUAAUCAUUAUAUAUUUCCACUCACAAGUAAUGUUGCUUUAACUUGAUUGACAUCAUAACCCAAAAUCACUUUAAACAUUUUUCCUAAACCUAGAAAGGGAAAAAAAACAAACUUUAAAAUAUAAUUAUUAUAUAUUAAGACAUGCAUAUAUAACAAGACCAUUUACUAGAAUAUUCAUAGAAUAAUCCAUAGUUCUUAAAAUUAAUAUGCUACACUAAGUAUAUAUUUGAUACAGUAAAUUAAUUUUCAAACUAUUACUCAUAUGCUCAUCAUCCAAAAUCAUUUAUUGGAAGCCUUCAAAGUCUUAAACUAGGAUGUCAAACUCAAACCAACACAAAACAAGAAUGUCAAACUCAAAUCAAUCGCAAAUCAUACAAAUCAAUAAUCGGGCUAAUAUUUAAGUUAAAUUAGUUCAAUUAAAAAGAAUAGCUAACAAGCUCCUAGCUUUCUCGAACCACCCGGCUGGUCCUAAAACCAUUCAUUUUUGGGCUCCAAUUACAAUAGUAAUUGGUACUUAAAUACAUAUUUAUAAAUUUUAAGAUACUUAAUACAUUGGAUUGAUAUUUUUCAGUUUUUAACAACACAUAUGAAUGAACAACAUAUUAAAAUUUGAGAUUAUUCUGAUAUUAUUAUGUUGGUGUUUUGUAAGAUCAACAGUUAAUAAAUAGUUAUGUCAAAAGAACUUGCUGCAGAGCAGCAGAGUUCAAAAAAUCAUUAAAAAUAACCUACAAGUUCAAUCAACAUAAACUUUUUCAGAUUUGAAGUAUGCAUAUAGAACUUUAGUUUCUCUGAAUUUCAGCUCAUUCAGACAUGUUUAGACUAUUGUUUUGCACCACCAAACAUGAUACAUGAGUAAUUUAUGAAAGAUUGGACAGCAACCAACCAUUUUGAAAAAUCGAUUAAAAAUCAGUUAUAAACCCAAUUCAUUCCAAAAUUUCCUGAACUGAAACAUACACAUUUGACUUUAAUUAUUUCAAACAUAUGGUAAAGUUUGGACAAAAUAUUUCAAUACUUUGAGAGUUCAUUCCAAAAUCAUUACUUAUAAACAAGUCUUAUGAUUUUGGCCAUGAAUCUUAUAAAAUUUAAGAUACUUAAUACAUUGGAAUGAUAUUUUUCAGUUUUUAACAACACAUAUGAAUGAACAACAUACUAAAAUUUGAGGUUAUUCUGAUAUUAUUAUGCUGGUGUUUUGUAAGAUCAAAAGUUAAUAAAUAAUUAUGUCAAAAGAACUUGCUGCAGAGCAGCAGAGUUUAAAAAAAUCAUUAAAAAUAACUUGCAAGUUCAAUCAACAUAAAAAUUUUCAUAUUUGAAAUAUGCAUAUAGAACUUUAGUUUCUCCGAAUUUCAGCUCAUUCAGAUAUGUUUAGACUAUCGUUUUGUACCACCAAAGAUGAUACAUGAGUAAUUUAUGAAAGAUUGGACAGCAACCAACCAUUUUGAAAAAUCGAUUAAAAAUCAGUUAUAGACCCAAUUCAUCAUUACAAAAUUUCCAGAACUGAAACAUAUACAUUUAACUUUAAUUCUUUCAAAUAUAUGGUAAACACAAUAUUUUUCCAAAGUAGAUAUAAUGAAGGUUAUUUGGUGCCAAUAAAAGAGAAGAAAGUAGCAAAGAAAAAAACACAAUAAAAGCUAAAUCUUUACCUUCUUGUUUCUUCCAAGUAGCCAAAGAAACAAUACCUUCUAGUUUCUUCCAAGUAGCCAAAGAAACAUAGAAGCUCUUCUCCAAAUCACUUAUUUAAACCUAAAAGAACAAUUAAAACAAAAAAAAACUCAAGAUCUAAUGACAAUAAGAGAGACCCGAAAUCAUAAAAUAAGAAAAGAAAUAAGAAGUUAGGAUUUUAAAGGCAAAUGGUGAACCUGUGCCACCGGUUUGACAGGAUCAUGGUUGAGCACUUUUUGACAAUUUUUUUUAACCCAAAAACGCCAAGCUGAUGUUUUCUCAUAUUAAUCAAUACAUUAAUAGAAUCAAAUUGAAGCUGUAAGAACUAAAAACCAGAAAGGGGAACACAAGAGAGAAAUUCUAUGCUGUAUUCUCCUUCUUGAGUUUUGCAAGCUCCUAUCGAACAAGUCCACCCUUCUUGAUCUUUGCAAACAUGACCUUGAACCUAUCAAAAUCAUUCAGUGCCGCUCUCCUUUUUUGGACAAUCAGCUUCUUGCCCCAGGAGCUGUUUUCCCAUUUGUUCUUCACAUCAGCCUUCUCCAUGGCUUCAAUCAAAGACUUCUUCCUGGGAACUCGAUUGAUGUCAAUCUUAAUAUCCGUGAGAGAAAGCCUCUUCAUUUGGCUCCUCACCAUAUCAUGGGCAUCAACAAGAGCCUAUAAAGCAUCACAAAAAUAAUAACAAUUGUAUACAACUAAAAAAUAAACGAAACAGUUCAAAAUUCAAAGAAAUCCAAGCUAAAAUCACUCUGUUUACAAAAGCACAUCAACUUUCUAAUUUGCUAUUUUUGUACAGAAAAAUAAAGAAGGGGUACCCAGUUAUCAUCAACUAAACCAAAAUAUUCAGAAUUCUUGUGACAAUUUUAUAAGAUUCAACUCAAAUAAAGCAUAAGCAUAAAGUGAAUAAAGGUACCCUGUUUUGAUCAAGGACAUCGACGAUGACCACAAGCUUCCCAUAGUCCUUGUCGUAAUUAACGAGAGCAACUCUUCCUAUCUCCACGUACCUCUUGAACGGCUACACUCAAGGUCAUAAACUUUCAAUUAUCAACUACUUGUUGAAAAACAUAAAACUACGACAGAUUCAAGUUAAUUAAUCACUGUGUUGGUUAAUUCGUGAUCUGAGAAGGACCCAUUAGUGGCGAAGAGGUUACCAUUUUCGAAGAUAUUCAAGGCUCUGCCGGAGGAGCAAGGAGAUGAAUGAAUGAGGCAAGAGGCCACUUUUUGACAAUUUGGAUGUUAGGGAGUUUUCAGAUCUGGGGAGCUUAGGAGGGAACAAAUACUUUGGUAGAGGGGGUUGAAAAGUUAUAUUUUGGAUAAGAUCCAUUUGUUGUUUUGUUUUUAUCCACUCAAAAAGCACAACUCUAAAAAAAUUAAAAAUAAUUCGUAGCCUAGUGGUCUUUUGAUUCAAUGUAGAAGCUUUAGGUUUAAGAGGUCUUGGGUUCGAAUUCAGACUAAAACAAAAUUAAAAUGAUAAUUUUUAAUUGCUGAUACCAAAGCGUCAUUGAUCGCUAUUACUAAAGCUAUUGAUACUUCAGUAUUAGUAAUUAGUGAUACAUAUCUGUUAAACGCGGAAACUGAUCCAAAUAUAUGUAUAUACUGAUACUUUUAAAUAAAGUAUCAGAAGACAAGUAUUAGUAAAGACUAUUUUUCUAGUAGUAUGAACUUUCAUUUAAAAUAAGAAAUGAACUAAUUUGUAUUUAAUUAUUUAAGUAAUUUUAACUAAAAAGGGGAGUUUAUUAGGAAUUUUGAGGAGUGUCAAAAGUCUUAAUCUUUUUUUUUUUUUAAUUUGGGAAGGAAAUUUCUGUUGAACAUGUGAAAAGUGAAAACAAUGGGAGACACAAUUGUACUUUUUUAGACAAAAUCUCAUGGUAAGCCACACACCCCGUAGUAAAAUACUAUGUAAUGGGAAAGAAAUGAAUUUAAAUACUUUAUAUAUGUUGCAAACUGGAAUCAGAUAUUGGAAUUUAUAUUUCAGGAUUUCGAUUCAACGACUCUCUAUAACUCUUCAAUAUUGAAUUGUUAAUCAGUUAAUUAUGUUAUAUCAAUACCAAUUCAAUCACAAGUAUGGCGACAUGAAAAGUAAUAAAACAACCACAAUUGACAAUUAAUAUUUGCUUUCAAUACUAUUUCUGAGGGAACCAUUAUUUUGCUUGAUGAAGGAGAUGAAUUUAUUGGUCAACUCCAAAGCAUUUGUACAUGUAGGGUUUCUCAAAUAAAAGACAUGCUUCUCAUCGAGAUGCUCAACGAGCUCCACUCUCCUUUUCCAUUCACUCUUCAACUCCUCGUAGUAAUUUUUCCCAGCGGGACACAAGUAGUCUCUCUCAGCCACAAAUAUCAAAACCCUCUCACACCCAAACCUAGCCAGAUCCUCUGCGGGCGGUUUCAUCCUAGGAUCCUGCGGCCCAUCAUUACUUACACACAUGUACAACCACAUCUCAUCGUCCUCCGUACGGCCAAAAAAUGGGUGUACCAUCGUCACCCCAACCAAGUUCACACCGGGUAGCCCGAUUGAUCCGACCCGGAACGCCAGAGUGUGUGCGAUGUUCCCUCCUGCACUGUCCCCACCAAUGAAAAAAUAAGUUCUUAUAUUUUCUUCACCAAAAUUAUUUUAAAUGUGUAUGUUAAAUCUAAAAUUAAAUAAAAUUAUUUGAGGAAAAUCAAAUUCGUCUAAGUAAACUAGAUUUACCUCCAAUAGAUAUUAAGUCUGGCUAUGCGGGGGAAGUAGAAAAUCCGCUACUUUAUAAAUAUAAUUCAACACCACAUUGUAGUUUAAAUACUGUGAUUUAGCCUAUGUACGGAGAUGGUUGUUUUUUAUCAAUUUGAAUUCGGAUCUUCUUCUAAUCUCAUUUUUUUCUUAAAUUUUUUGAAAUUCUUGAGACAAGUGAAAAUCGUUUUAGAAAAUCUAUUUCUUAAAUUAGAAAAGUAAAAUAGCAAAUUUCCAUAAACAAACCCAAGUCUUCUCUUUCAUUCACUAUUAUUAUUAUUUUCUUUUGGUAAUUUUUAGGGACAUCCCCUAAGGUUUUGCAUAUUAACACUCAAAUAAAAUGUAUUGAUUUAAUUACAGAUACUUCCCUCCUCGUUAAUAUAAAAUAUGUAUGGCGUUAGUAUAAAAGGAUAAACAUGUAAAUACAUACUUAAAUUUAAAAAAUAAUUUAAAGUGAAGCUCGAUGUUGAGAAAUCUUAAAUGUUACACCUUAUUAACCAUAUCUUGAAAAUAACCAGCAGACAAAAGAGAGCCACCAAUGCACUUAUCUUUCUCUUUCACAUAAGCAAAAACUCAAUACCAUAAGCAAAAGCCAAACAUCCACUUAUCUUUCUAUUUCACAGAAGCAAAAACCCAAUACCAUUCCCGAUCUUUUUUUUCUAAAGUUGUGAAGAAAUCAAGUUUAAAAAAGAUUUUACCUUCAAUUUUUGUGUUGGCUCAAGUCUUCCAUAAUGCCGCUGGCCGAGAAGAAGUGGAAGGCUGGGAAGAAAUCCCGGAGGAAUUUGCCACUGGCGACAAGAAAAAGAAGUGCGAGAAGAAGAGCAUCAAGACGUACACGAUCUAAAUCUUCAAAGUCCCAAACCAAAUCUAUCUUGAUAUCGGAAUCUCAAGCAAGGCCAUGGGAAUCAUGAACAGUUUCAUCAACGAUAUUUUUGAUAAGCUUGCUUAGGAAGCUUCAAGGCUGGUGAGGUACAAGAAGAAGCCGACGAUUACAUCUCGGGAAAUUCAGACCAUAUUGUGAGACGUUUACUUCUUGGUGAGCUGGCCAAGGGUACCAAGGCUAUUAUUAAGUUUGCUUCUUUCUAAAUGAAAUUUGCUGCAUUUGUCAGUAGAUUUUGGUGCUAUAUGAUUUGUUUAGUUAGUGAUUUAGGCUUUUAAUUUUACUAGAUGAAGACGUUUUGUUUUUCUUUUCUUUUUUUUUGGGGUGGGUUUGUAAGGUUUGUUUAGAUGUACUUGAAAUUGGGAUCUGAUCUAGGUGACGUGCAUGUUCAUUAUGUGAGAAAAAGAAAAAGAAAUAUGAUUUCUAAAUUGUCUUGUUGGUUCUUUACUGAGUUGUGAUUCAAUAUUAUGAAAUUCUCUUAAGUGAAAUAACUGCAUUUUAGAAAUUUUUUUAUUUAAUAGGCGAUAUCAAUUGCUUUACAUGGAGGACUAUGUUGGUCUAUUAAACAUUUUGUGAUUCCAAGUAAUCUUAUUGUCAUUGGUUCUCAAAGCUUUGUUUAAUAAUUUAUCAUUUUGGCAGGAAGGGUAUUUUAGUAAUUUAAACAGUCUACUAACAGUCAAUGUAAUGAGAAACUAACGACAAGGGAGCUACCUGUAAUUACAUCAAUACAUUCCAUCUCAAUGUUAAUACGCAAAACCUCAGGGUAGGUCCCUAAAAAUUACUCGCUAGGUAAAUUUUAUUUUUUACCCCCUCAAUUUCGUAGUUCUCACGUAUUGUCAGCUGCAUUAAUAAAGUUUGUUGUUUCCAUGUUAUUAUAACAUGAAAAAUAAAAUAAAACGAAUUGCACAGCAUAUAUAUUACAUCGUAACAUAAAUAAUUGGUUCAUUAAUUUUGUUGCUUCCAUAUUAUUAUAAUAUGAAAAAAAAAAGAAUUGCAGAGCAUAUAUAUUACAUAAUAACGUAAAUAAUCGGUUCAUUAAAACAUGCUUAUUGUCAGAAAACUGAAAUAUUAGGUAUUCCUUCAUGGGUUAUUGCGUUUAAAUCGAGUUGAUACUAGGACUUUGGGCCAGGUUGGUAAUAUUGUAUUUUUUAAAAUUAUUGUUGUUGGAUAUGCUAUAGAAAUAAUGAUGAUGAUGAUGAUGAUGAUGAUGAUCUCUUUAAAGUUAACAAUUUUAUUUUCCAAUUGAUUAGGAUAAUUUUAGAUUUUUAUAAUAUAUAUAUAAGGAUAUACAUGAACUAUAUUAAGUAUAAAAUUAAUUUUCAAAAUUAGAUUUUGAAAAGCACUCUUUCCCUUCUUUUAAAAUCUCUUAUAAGAUGUGUUGAUUUUGUCAAAAGUGAUUUGUGAAAAAAUUUAAUAAACACCAAAAUUAAUUUUUAAUCUUUCAAAAUAACUUUUAAAUCUCUCAAAAGUAAUCCCAAAACAGGUCCUUUGAAUGAAUGCAACAUGUAAGUUAAGAAGGCGAAAUAUUGAUAGAGCUGCUAUCAGGAUUUUGAAUGAAUGCAAUAUGUAAGUCAAGAACGUGAAAGAACUGUAAUCUUAGUCAUGAAGUAUAUGCUAUCAUUUUGAGAUUGUCUUAUUGCUUCUUCACAAUCUCAUUUUGGUUUAAUUAAACAAAUAACAAAUAUAUGCUUGUUACUAGAUAUUUUGCCCCAUCUCUGACCACCACCCAUCUUGAAAUUUAUACAAUUUUAAUUUAUUGUAUCAUGAUAAGAAUGUGUGCGAUCAUGCAUGUGUUUUCUUCUUGGUGGGUCUAAGCCGUGUGACUUGAUGAGGAUGGCUGAGAAAUGGAUGGUUGAUUAUGAAAGCACAUCUUGCUAGUAUUUGCGAAUAAUUUCAUUGAUUUAUUAUAUAAAUCAUCUUAAAAGAUUUAACUUAUUACGAUUAAGACAGUUUAUUAGUGGAGUAAAUAUCAAUUUUUUUCUUUUCUCUUCUUUGUAUUUUUUACUUUAUAUUUCUUGAAUCUCAAUUUAAUCUAUUUAUGUCGAAAAUUAUUUUUUGGUUAUUAAUAUUUUACUCUCGGUUAUUGAAUGCGUUUGGUUUUUCACAAUUUUGAUAAAUUAAAAUGCAUUGUAACGGCAUUUUAUGAAAAGCCAAAUGCAUUUUAUUGAAAAGCCAAGUGCAGAAUCCACCGCCAUGCCUGUACUAUUGGCUUUUCAUAAUUUUGAUCACGCAAGCAUAUGUGGCUGUGUAAUUACGCACUGAAUCCAAAUCCACCCACCUUCCCCCGCGCGCCCACCCACCAUCCCCCCGCGCCCACCCGCCAAAAGGUCAAUUUUUUCCUCUUAACGUAUUAAUCUUUAAAAAUCAUUCGUGGAUUGGAUAUAUAGGUGACGUCUUCGUCGUCUAGCAUGCAUCAAACCAUGCUGUUCCAUUUUAGUUAAUGAAUUAUUUGUUUCAUCACUCAUGCAUGAAUGACAAUGGCAUGUGAUGUCCCUCGUCAGUCAUGCUACUUGGUAAACAUGCAUCAAUGACAACGGCAUAUGUAUGUCCCUCAUCCUUUAUAAAGACUGACGUUAACUUAUAAGCAAAUAAUCUUCCACCGAUAUGGAUUGCCUACCACCUUUAUUUAUUGUACUUAGUUCGACCCCAAACUGGAAAAAAAUCUAGUAUCAACAGUUGACAUUAUUUUUUUCCAAAAUACAGCAUCUUCCUUUCUCUCUUUACUACCAUAUAGGUCACAGUACAAAAGCCUCCCUAUAUUAUUAUUAUCUUUUUUCAGCUCAAUUUAAUCUUUCCUAUGGAUUCCUCAAACUCAAAGCCAGCAGCUGAAGUAGCCCAGGACGUGUCUCCCAUGUUUAAAAUAUACGAAGACGGCAUAGUGGAGAGGCUUAUAGGCAAGGAGAUAGUUCCCCCAUCCUUUGAUCCAAAAACAAGCGUUGAUUCCUGAAAGAGUUUGUUGACAGUGUUUGGCUUAAGAGAAACUAACAAGAAAAUAAAAGAAAAUCAUAAACGAAAGCUCUGAAAAAGAUCAUCUUAUUAUUAUAUAUAACUAAUGAUUACAACUUGUUAUUUAUAGUAAUGAUCAGAGGAAUCUCGUAGCUUGACAGUUUGUUGGAUCUAAUAUGCAUGCAAUACAGUUCGUUAUCUUUGCUGCUGAGCUAGAUAACUAACUAACACACGUAAGCAUUAUCAGCAGCUCCAUUUAAUCAGAUGCUCUCAUCUGUACCAUAUUAUCAUACUCUGUAACAUCCCUAUUCAAGCUGAACUGACCUGGAUGGACAUUCAGCUUGCUUCUUAGGUAGUGAAAUUGAUUGAAAGUUAAAGCUUUGGUAAGAACAUCGGCAUUUUGAUCUUCACUGGGAAUGAACUGAACUGUAAUUUGCUUAGCUGUUACUUUGUCCCUGAUGAAAUGAAUAUCAAAAUCAACAUGCUUAGUUUUAGCAUGAUAAACAGGAUUGUGAGCUAAAGCUAUGGCACUUUGAUUAUCACGCCACAUUAUGGGGGCUGUGACAAGAUGAAUAUGUAGCUCUUUCAAUAAGGACUGAAUCCAAGUGACCUCAGCUGUAGCUUGAGCCAAAGCUCUGUAUUCAGCUUCAGUGCUCGAUCUGGAAACUACUGCCUGUUUCUUAGAUGACCAGGAAACCAAACUUGAACCAAGAUAAACAGCAUAACCAGCCACUGAUUUGCGAUCAUCCUUAUCACAUGCCCAAUCUGAGUCACUAAAACAAUUUAUCUGCAUAGUGCCGUAAUGAUAAAAGUGUAAUCCAAAGUGAAUUGUUCCUUUCAAAUAUCUAAGAAGCCUCUUACAAGCCUCCCAAUGCUCUGUUGUUGGUGAAGCUAGAAACUGACUAAGUUUAUUUACAGAGAAAGCUAUUUCUGGCCUAGUGAGGGUCACAUAUUGUAAAGCUCCAACUGCACUUCUAUAUUUUGAAGCAUUUGAAAUAACAUUGCCUGACCAUUUUGUUAGAUAGUGACCAGUUGACAUGGGAGUAGGAACUGGACUGCUGUCAGCCAUAUUGUGCUUGGCUAGAAGAUCAGCUAUGUAUUUUGAUUGCGAGAGAUACAUUCCUGAUGUUGUUUUGGUAACUUCUAUCCCAAGGAAAUAACUCAGUUUGCCCAGAUCUUUCAAAGCAAAAGCAUUUUGCAUAUUUGUAACCACUUGUUGCACCAGUUGAUCACUUGAGCCUAUGAUGAUUAUAUCAUCUACAUAGACAAGAACAAAGAUUGCAUGACCACCUGUCCAUUUGUAGAAGAGAGAGUUGUCUGACCUUGAAUUGUGGAAUCCCCAUUGCAUAACCAAGCAUCUUUCAGUCUCUCAAACCAAGCCUUGGGGGCUUGUUUUAAACCAUAGAGUGUUUUCUUCAACUUAUAGACAUGAAGAGGUCGAGAUGGAUCAAUGAAACCCUCUGGUUGUCUCAUAUACACAUCUUCAACUAAUAUGCCAUUCAAAAAAGUAUUAUUCACAUCCACUUGUCUGAGCUGCCAUUUAUUCAUGACUACCAAACUUAAAAUAACUCUGACUGUGGAUGCUUUAACAACUGGACUGAAUGUUUCUGUGUAAUCAACUCCAUGUGUCUGAUGAAACCCCUUAGCCACUAACCUGGCUUUGUAUCUAGAAAUGGUUCCAUAAGCAUGAUACUUUAUCCUGAAUAUCCAUUUGUUUCCAACCACUUUAACUGGUUCACUUGGCAAGACCAGAUCCCAGGUAUAAUUGUUUUGAAGUGCUUGAUAUUCUUCUUGCAUUGCCUUAAACCAUUUUGGAUCAGAUAAAGCUGCUGAAAUAGAAGUAGGUUCUGAAGGUAUGGCUAGUAAAGCAGCUAGAUAAGAUUUAAGCUUAAAAAUACCAGCCUUGGAUUUGGUUAUCAUAGGAUGACCUAUAGGUGGUGCAGUAGGUAAUAUAUGAGGGGGAGAUUGUGUAUUAUGUGUAGGAUGUGUAUGUGAUGUUGAGGAAGGUGAAGAUGGAGAAAAUACCUGUAGAGUGUCAGCAGGUAGGUAAGCACUUGCUGGAGGAACUUGCAGAGGGGAUUGUACUUGUGGGACUUGGAACAAGAGUGACUCUAGACUCUGAAGAACUAUCUGAGGAACUGCAAAACUGAGCAAUGGAAGAUAAAUUUGAUCCAGACAUAUAUGGAAAAGACUGUUCAUCAAAGAUGACAUGGUUUGACACAUAUACACGACCAGAAGAGUGAAGGCAUUGAUACCCUUUAUGAGAAGAGCUAUACCCAAUAAAAACACAUCUAUUUGACCUAAAACUAAGCUUAUGAUUAUUAUAAGGUCUGAGAUAAGGAUAGCAAGCACACCCAAAGAUUCUAAGAAAAGCAUAAACUGGUACUUGCUGAAAGAGUUUUUGAUAAGGUGAAAUGUUGUUCAAAGUUAGUGUGGGUAGUCUGUUGAUAAGGAAUACAGCAGUAUGAAAAGCAUUCCACCAGAACUUAAGUGGCAGAUUAGCUUGAGCUAAUAGAGUGAGACCAAUAUCAACUAUGUGUCUGUGAUUUCUCCCAAGUCUUCCAUUUUGAUGAUGGAUAUAAGGAAAAGGAUGUCUGAACUGGAUUCCAAACUGAGGGAGAUAAGAUGAAAAUGUUCUAAACUCCCCUCCCCAAUCUGUUUGAACUGUUUUGAUUUGGUGUUGUAAGUGUUUUUCAAUGAAAGAUUUGAAUUCUAUAAAAGCUUGAAGGGCAUCUGAUUUGGCAGACAAAGGAAAAAUCCAUGUGUAUCUGCUAAAGUCAUCUAAAAUGGACAGGUAAUAUAUAUAGCCUUGAGUGGAGGCAACAUGUGAUGGUCCCCAAAGAUCAGCAUAUAUGAGUUGUAAUGGUGCUGUUGUUUUUGUGGAAACAGAACCAAAAUGUAAAAGAUGACUUUUACCAUGCUGACAAGCAUUGCAAAAACUUGGAGUUUUAUUGAGUACAUUAAGACUAUUACAAGCUUUCAAUACAGAUUUAAGUGUGUGUAAGGCAGGAUGUCCUAGCCUUUUAUGAACAAUAUUGACAUCAACUGAACUAGUAUUGACAGCCAAGGCUGAUUUACACAGCAACUGAUUAGAAGAAGUACUCUUAUUUAUUCCAGAAGAAACAUCAUUAGACAUAGGAAAAUGAUAAGCAAACAAAGACUGAGGUUUUUGGAAGAAAGUUGACAUGACAAAGCUGAGCUAGUUUCAAAGAUUUGAGCUGCAGAUUGGACUUGAUAUAAUCCCUCUAUUGCAAUUCCUCUAAGCAAAGUGAUCUCUGAGUUCCUGGCCUUGACAACACAAACAUUUUCACAAAACUCAAGUGUCACAUUGUUAUCUGCUAAAAGUUUAAAAACACUGAGUAAAUUCUUUUUAAUAUUUGGAACAUGAAGAACAUGGUUUAAACACAAGGGUUUAACUGUAGGAGUAGCUAGCAAUACUGAUCCAAUAUGUUUAAUAUGCAAUGCAAAACCAUUCCCAACAAGUAAUUUGUCAGUUCCAACAUAUGGCUGGAGAUCCAGUAAUUUACCUGAAUCAUUUGUGAUGUGGUUAGUAGCACCACUGUCAAUAUACCAAGCUGGAUCUUCAAACAUCUCAGGUGCAUGAGCUGGAACAGUGACUGGAGUAUUUGAAAAUAAGGAUGGUGAGCCAGAGUAAUCUCCAGUUGGGACAAAUGCAUGUGCUGGAGAGUAACCACCAUGAGAGUUAGGCUGUUGGUAAAUAUUAAAAGCAACUGAAUCUGAGUACAUCAAGUGACCUUGAUAACCAGGUGGUCUUGGUGAGUUGAAAUUCCCAAACUAAGAGUUACCAAUUCAAGCACCAAACUGAGGACUAAAGUUUCUACCAAAAUUUCCAUAAGCCAUAGCAGAUCUAUUUCCAUUUGCAUAGCUAAAUCCCUACCAUACUGCCUUUGACCAGGCCUAAAAUUUCCAUUAAAACCACCUCUCCCUUGAUUUCUUGAAGGAAUAAAGGCUGAAUUAAACCUAUUUCUGCAUUUAUUGGCAUUAUGACCAGGAAUAAAGCAGAUCUGACAUACAAUUUGUGACAAAUUACCAUCACCAGAUCCAGCUCCAGAAUUAUACACACCUCCAUAAGAUCCAUUGUUGAACUUUUGAUUACCACCAGUAUUUUUACCAGGAUUGAACUACUUUUAAGCAACAUUAGCUGACAAGUUAUCUGUAACAUCACUUGCAACUUUUCCUCUCUUUUGUUCCACUUGAUUUUCAUGACUCAGUAACAAUGAAUAAAAGUCAUCAAGACUGAUAUUAUCUCCUCUAGCUAACACAGUAGUGACUAAUGACUCAUAAUCAGAGGAAUACAAUCCAGUUAAAACAUGUUGAACAAAAUUAUUCACUUUAACAGGUUUUCCAGCUAAAGCUAAGCUGUCAGAUAUCCUUUUCAUUUUUGCAAAAUAAUCAAUUAUAGACAUUGAGCCUUUUUUAAGAGUUUGGAUCUGCAUUUUUAGAGGCAUUAUUCUAGCUUGCGAUUGGGAGACAAACAUACUUGUAAGUGUAUCGAGCAGCUCCUUUGCAGUUGAGCAGUGGAUCAUUGUUGUCAACAGAUUUGGCUGAAUAGAUGACAGCAUCCAACUCAGAAUCAAUUGAUCCGUCUUGAUCCACAUUGUGUAAGUUGGAUUGAUCUCUUGAUUCUCUGUUCCAGUUGAGAAACCAACAACAGAGCUCGUAGCAGAGAAAAUUUUUUUCGGACAAACUUGAUUUCCAUUGAUGAAAUCUUCUAAACCAUUUCCUUUGAUGGAUGUAAGGAUUUGAGUUCACCAAACAAUGAAGUUGUUAUGAUCUAGUUCUACUGGAGUAAUAAAACUAAAGGAUCCAGAAUUUUGAUUUGAGUUUGCCAUUUGUUUGCUCUGAUACCAUGAAAGAGUUUGUUGACAGUGUUUGGCUUAAGAGAAACUAACAAGAAAAUAAAAGAAAAUCAUAAACGAAAGCUCUGAAAAAGAUCAUCUUACUAUUAUAUAUAACUAAUGAUUACAACUUGUUAUUUAUAGUAAUGAUCAGAGGAAUCUCGUAGCUUGACAGUUUGUUAGAUCUAAUAUGCAUGCAAUACAGUUCGUUAUCUUUGCUGCUGAGCUGGAUAACUAACUAACACACGUAAGCAUUAUCAGCAGCUCCAUUUAAUCAGAUGCUCUCAUCUGUACCAUAUUAUCAUACUCUAUAACAAUUCCAAAGAAGUUGUGUAUUCACCUGAAAAUAAUCUAUCCACUCGGCUUUACAUCCCCAAAAACACAAACAAUCCAAACCAUAAACUCCCUCUAGUGGACUAUAUCUAUGGCGGAGGCUUUUGCAUCUAUUCUGCCUUUCAUCCAACUUACCAUAAUUAUGUUAAUACCCUGGUCUCUGAAGCUAAGGUUAUUGUAGUCUCUGUUGACCAUCGACGAGCUCCUAAGAAUCAUGUCCCUUGUGGUCAUGAAGAUUCAUGGGCUGCACUCAAAUGGGUUGCUUCUCAUGCUGAUGGACAAGGCCCUGAAGAUUGGCUUAACCAUUAUGCUGAUUUUGAGCGAGUUUUUAUUUAUAGGGACAGCGCUGGAGGUAAUAUAGCCCAUCACAUGGUGAUGAGACUCCCUCGAGAAAUUCUCGACGGUUUUAAUGUUGUUAGUUUUGUUUUAGCUCAUACCUAUUUUUAGGGAAAAGAACCUGUUGGUGAUGAGACAACUGAUGCCGAAACUAGAGCUUCCAUAGAGAAGAUGUGGCGAGCUGCUUGUCCUGGUACAAGUGGGUGCGAUGAUCUGCUAAUUAAUCCGUUCGUCGGUUCGAGUCUAGCGAACCUCGAGUGCAAAAGGGUGCAGAUUCAUGUUGCAGAGAAGGAUUUGAUGAGAGAUAGAGGAUGGUUUUAUUAUGAGAAGUUAAAGGAAAGUGGUUAGGGAGGUGAAGCGGAGAUCGUUGAGUCUAAAGGAGAGCCGCAUAUCUUCUAUUUGCUCAGUCCCACUUGUGACAGUGCUGUGGCUAUGAGGAAGAAGAUUGCUUCCUUCUUCAACGAGAUUUAGACCUGAAUUUCUUAUAUAGGUUGUUCAAAUAAACUACUGCAAUUGUGAUAUAUAUUUCACACUCAGACUUUGAUUUGGUGUGUGUAUGAUAUGGUUGUAUUGUUGGUUAAAAAUUCUCAAAUUAAAUUGCUUCAAUCUCAAAUUUCAAGUCAAAAUUAUGAAAGAAUUGAUGUUAGCACUCAUGGUCUUUACAGAAUUAACAUAAAAAUCAAGUAUAAACUAAAACAAUAUUCAAACCUUUCUAAGAACUAUAUUCAUUGUAAAUCAUGUUCUUACCAUUGGCUUUUCACAUUUAUAACAAAUAGUUUUUUUUUUUUUGGAAAUUCUUAAUGGAUUUGUUUUUUUUUUUAAACUUAACAAUAAUUAAAACACAUACUAACUCCCGCCCCCAAACUUAUUUUGAGCAUUGUCCUUAAUAUUUCAUAAUCUAAAGAUAUAAAUACAAAAAGGUGAAAGAGAUAAAGAAAUCAUAAAGAAUAAAAGAAAAAGUUGGGGAGAUCACACUUGAGCUAGUUGCAAAAGCUUAAAAGAAGAUGACAAAGAACAAGAAACUGUUAGAAAUAAAAAUAUUAGGAAACAAAAAUAAACAAAAGUCAUUAGUAUCAUGCGAAAUAAAAGAAAAUUUCUCAAAUAAUGACACUAACAAGUCCUCCAGGAUAAAAAAGAAUUUGGUUAUAUACUUAGAGUGACUGUCAAGAAAACAAAAAACAAGACUAUUGAACCUCUUGAGCAUAUGAUCUAUGAAAGAAAAUUGGAAGUGACCUCGCUUUUACCAACCUUUUUCACAAUAGGGUUUGGAUUUGGUAUUAUCUCAAGCAUAUGGCUAAAAGCAUUCUCAAAGUGAAUCAUAGGUGCAUAGAAUAAGGGACUGCAGCUAUCCAACUUAUGGCUUCUUCAUGUUCAUUAAAAAUCAUUAAUUAAUUUACCAACAUGUUUAUUUUAUUUAGUUGCUAAAACAACAAAGAACUUUUUUGAAGAUACUUGAGACAAAGAAAUGGAUGACUCAAGUAAUGGUUUCAAGUCUAAUAACGGUCGUUUUUCUAUAGAUGGAGGAGGUAUAGACUUAGAGGGUGGAAGACAGUCUACUUUAGCUAUCCAUUUAUUAAGAUCCAUUAAUGAGGUAGACUCUAGUAUAGAAUUUACUUCACUAAUCAUAGUAUCUUCAUUUAUGUCAAUGCUAAAAUAAGUUAAAUAAUCUUUUACUAGUCAUCUCCAUUGAAAAGCAUAAAGGAAUUAUUGAUUGUACUCUCUAUUAGAUUGACAACUCUGUCGUCAUUAAAAUUCUCUAUAGCAUAAAGUUGUUUACUAACAAUAAACACAUUGAGUUCCAUAGUCAUAUUCCUAAAUGAAAUUUUUAUGACAUCAUUAUGACAAUUAUUAAGAAUUUGUUGUGGCUAAGAAAGGUCAACCUAAAAUAAUAAAAAUUUGAGAACAUGGGUUCUCUACAGGUUUAGUGUCAAGAACUAUGAAGUCGUCAUGAAAGUAGAAUUUAUCUACCUUGACAAGAACAUCCUCUAUAAUCCCUCUAAAAAUGUUGACAGAUUUAUCUACUAAUUAGAGUGAUACAUGAGCGGGCUUCAAGUCUUUAAAUCCUAAUUUCUCAUAGAUAGAGUAUGGCAACAAGUUAACAAUGGCACUUAAAUCAAGUAAAGCUCUAUCAAAUGCAUGGUCUCUAAUAACACAAGAAAUUGAGAUAAACUAGGGUAUUUAUACUUAGUAGGAAUUUUGUUAAGGAGAAUGCUAUUAACCUUUUCAGUUAGGAAUGCCUUUUGUGGGACAUUGUUUUUCCUUUUUACUAUACAAAGAUCUUUUAAGAACUUAGCAUAAGCUGAUAAUUGUUGAAUAACAUCAAGCAAAGGGAUGUUUAUACGAACUUGCUUAAACAUUUCUAGAAUAUCAUUAUAAUGAAUAUCUUUCUCUUAUGGGACAAGUCUUUAUGGGUAAGGAGCUUUGAGAACAUAAGGCUUUGAUUGAAUUCCAUUCUCAUUAGGUUUACUAGGUAAUUGCUUUUCAAUUGAAGUUGGUUGACUUUCUUUCCAAUGCUCAAGAACUUUUAAAUAAUUAUCAAUUGUUUUUCCAAACCUAAGGGUAGUUAUAGAUUUGGCUUUCUUAUUAGGCAUAUUAGAAAUGGAUGAUGAUCUUAUUUCAAAUUGACUUUUAGGGUUAGGAAUUGGUUAACUAAGUAGUGUUUCUUUCUCCCUCUCAGCUACAGUAGUUGCUAAUGGACCCAAUUGAUUUUAAGCUUUAAAAUAACUUUAGUGUUUCAAUGUAAGGCUUAUUGGGUUAAUUGAAUGAAAUUUUGAAGUAUAUCUCUAAAAAAGGUCUUCUUUGUGAAAUUCUAGUUAUGCAACCCAAGAGGGGAGGUGAAUUGGGUAACUAAAAAUUAUUCAAUUCUAAAACAAAACGCAAUGCAAAUCUAAAACGAAUUUAAAGCAAUAACAGAUAAAUCAAUCACAAAAUAAAAAGAUAAGGGAAGAGAGAUUCAAACACGGAGAUUUUUACGUGGUUCGGCCAAACUCGCCUACGUCCACGCCUCCAAGCUUUCCAAACUUGAGGAUUUCACUAAGCAAGCCUCCAAGGCUUCAAAUGCUUACAAUUGACUUCUAAUGUGUAAAUGAACCUUUACAACAAGAGAUUAUCCUCAAUUUCUUAACCCAAGUGUAUCACAACACUUACAAUCACUCAAAACAAAAAUUAUAAAUUUGUUCUGCACUCACAUAAUACUUAAGAUUACAAAUCAACGCCCAAUGUGUGACUAAAUGAAGCAAAAAUGUGUUUAAAGCUUUAUGAAGGUUGUAUUCUCUAUUAUGAGUUCAAUGAUAGCGUUGUGAUCAACCUUUGUUUGAAUUUGAAUGAGUUUAUUUAUACUUGGAGCUGAAAAAUAGUUGUUACUGAUUGUCUGCUCGUAAACGGAUCGCUGUUAACCAUUAACGGUUAACCGUUUGGACUGGUCAAAGUUACCGUUAAACCAAAUUUCAAAUAAAAGGUUGACCGUUUAUCACUACCCUUUCACCGUUAAUUUUCAAAAACCUGCAAAAUAAAUUUCUGCUAUCCGUUCUUACUAAACGGUUAAAUAUUAGUAAGGAAAGACAUUCUAGAAUUUAUCGGUUAGCCGUUUGAAGUUAACGGUUCGCCGGUUAUUUCUAGUAACCUGCAAAACGAAAUAGCCUAAUCCGUUUCUGUUAAACGGUGCAAGAUUAGUACAAGCUUCCAUCCUGGAAUUUAUUAACUGUUUUCUAUAAACGGUUCACCGUUUAAUUCCAGUAACCUUCCCAGCAUAUUUGUGUUUUCCAUUUUUGCUAACCGGUUAGAGCUUAAGCAAUUGACCCUCUCUGGAUUUUAUCGAUUAACCGUUUACUUCCAGAAUCACAGUUUUAGCCAAAUAUUGCACGAAAUCAUUUUCCAAGUUGAAAUUUAACAACUAUCCAUCUUUCAUGAACGUAAUUGAAAUGAUUAUAUGGCUUUUGUUUAUUAAUGAAUAGCUCUAACAUUUUAAUAAAAAAUAUUUAAAGUUUGUUAUCAUCAAAAUUAAUAUUAUAAAUAUAUACAUGUUAACACUUUGUUGGAGUGCACCAAAUUGUUGAAAAGGAGGAUAUGCUAGGUUAUGAGGGACAAAUUCUUUAUCGGUCAUGCUAAAUUGUUGUCCUCCUUUGUUUGAUAUAGUUUGAUUUUGUUUUAGAAAAAAUUAGGGUGAUUCCCUAAUUAGAAUUAUAUGUGGGUAAAUAUGGAUUAUUAGAGGAUUUUCCAUAUAAUUGUAAUGCAUGUACUAGCUCAGAAUAAACAUUUUGAUAGGCUGGUAAUGAAGGACAAUUCUGUGUCAUAUGAGACAAGUUGGAACAAAUAGAACAAAUUUCAUUAGCUACACUAGGAUGAUGAUUCAUUGAUUGGUUUAUACUUAAGACUUCUACUUUCUUGGAAAGAUUAGAUAGAGUGGCUUUCACAUCAAACUCAUUAUUAACUUCAUGUAGACCAUUGUCAUGACACAACCUAGACCUGGUCAGAUAUUGUCCGCACGGUUUUGUUCUUGGGGCGCCCUUACACCCCAAAACUUGUCUUGCCAAUUACGGUGUGAAUCGCCCCUUAUAAACUCAGCAUCUCUCCCGUGCUUUGCCGAUGUGAGAUUCGCCUAGAGUGUUACAACCAUUAAGUUUUGGACUGAUUUUUCUCUUUGAUUUAAAAUAUCUCAUUGUUAAGAAUUCUUAAAAAGUGAACUGAAGAAAUCCCAAGCAACCAUUUCAUAUAGGUUCAAAAACUUGCCACCAUUCAUAAACUCUACCAUACAACAAUUUGAUAUACAUUAUAAAAGUACUCUACUAGUUUACAUUUCUUAAAACCAUUGUAGGGACACUUAAGGAGUGGUUAUUAAAUCUAUCCCAACACUCAUAAAAUUGUUCACUUUCUCUUUGAUAAAAAUCACUUAUCUCUCUCUUAAGGGCAAUUGUUUUAGAUAUAGGGAAAACCUUAGCGAGAAAUUUAUUGCUCAAUCAUCCCAUGUAGUAGUGGAAAGUGAAUUCAACCAAUCUUUUGCUUUGUCUUUUAAUAAAAAAAGGGAACAUAUGAAUCUUAAUUGAAUCAUCGUUAGCUUGUGCAGAAACGACGCUACAGAAAUUAUGAUACCGCGGACCAAAGGCGGACCGCCUGCAGAAUCCGCCGCCAUGCACGUAGAAUAAGAGAGGGAGCUUCUUCUGGUUAGGGUUUUGGGCUUCAUACGGAAUGAAGAUACGAGCAGAUACGGGUGGUUCAGACGAAAUAACAACGUCUUUGGAUCGGACGCCAGUGGUGGGGUCAUCGGAGGGUGGGAUCUUUUCGCAGUCGGGUUCGAAUAACUCAACCCUGCCGUCUUUGUAAACCCGGAAGAAUCGGAAUUCUUUUGGAAUUUCCGAGUCGCUUGAUGCCAUGUUUUUAAUUUGAAGGUUCGGUUUGAAAUAUAAUCAUAAAAGAGAAGAAGGGUUCUUUGUGUUUGUGCUGUUUGGUGAAAGAGGGAGAGCCAUCAAACGUUUUAUAAUAUGGGAACGUACGUAGUCACCUAACUUUCACAGCAUCUUCUCGCCCAUAAGUUUCUGUUUCUUUGACAUUUAUUUUUUCUUUUUUUCAUACCUUUUUCUUAUCAGUAAAUAUUUACGAUAUACGAAUAUGACGUUAUAUUCCAAAUAUAGAUACGGGUCUGCCUAAGUACAGCUGCCCUGUAAAAUGCGGACCCGAUAGAUAAAGGAUUUAAGUGGGUUGCACGAAUGCCUUUUUCAGGCCAACCAAACCAACAAAUGAAAGAAACCAGUCACCAACUUCUUUUUCCUCUCUUCUGAUCAUCUGGUGGGAGAGAGGAAAACAAAUAAACAAUCUAUUUCUGCACCACUGCAUGCUUGUUAUAAGGAUAAGUUUCGAGCUAUUAUAUCAACUACAAAAUAAGUAAAUAAUGUUAGAUAUAUAUAUUUUCAUUUUAAAAAAUUAACAUGCAAAUGGUAAUUAUAUUAAAUUUAAUCACACAUAUUAUGCAUGUAUUAGUUGGUUGUAUUACCUCUAGGCUGUGUUUACUUUCUGGAGUGGGAGUAAGGAGUGUGAAUUCAUUUCACCUUNNNNNNNNNNNNNNNNNNNNNNNNNNNNNNNNNNNNNNNNNNNNNNNNNNNNNNNNNNNNNNNNNNNNNNNNNNNNNNNNNNNNNNNNNNNNNNNNNNNNAAAUAAAUAAUAUAUAUAUAUUAAUUUGUAUUGAUUAUAAGUUAAAUUUACUUAAAAUAAUAUUAUUAUAUUAAUAGAGAAUUAAUAAAUAUUACUAUAUGCUAUCUUUAUUUAAUAAUAUAAUAUUAUUAUAUUUAUUUUAAAAAUAAUAGUACUAUAUUUAUUUAAUAUUAAUAAUUAAUAAUAAUAAAUAGUUUAUUAUAAGAAAAUAUUAAUUUUGUACUAAAUAAUAUUAUAUCAAUAAAUAAUAAAUUUAAUAUAAUUAUAUUAAAUAAAAUAAUGUUUCAUUUUAUAUUUAUCCUUCUUUUUAUUAAAUUUAAUAUUAUUAUAUUUAAUAAAUAUUUAAAUAAUAUUAUUAUAUUUAACUAAAUAAUAAUUAGAUUUGAUUCUAAGUUUAAUUUACUUAAAAAUAAUAUUAUUAUAUUAAUUAUUAUGUUCAUAAUUAAGAAUAUUAAUAAUUAUUAUAAAUUUACAAGUAUAAUAAAAUAAAUGUUUAUUCAUUAAAUAUAUUUUUUAUUAACUUUGUAAUUAAAAAUUAUAAUUCUUUGAUUAAGGAUAAAAUUGUAACUUGAAACUAUUUACUCCCAAUCCAAGAUAAAGUAAACACAUAAAUUGGAUUCCAAUCUCCAUUCCAUGCUUCCAUUCUAGUACAAGUAAACAACAUACUCUCACUCCCACUCCACACUCCCAAUUCUAGGAUUCUCACUCCAAUCCAAAAAGUAAACGCUACCUCUCUAAUGUAUUCUAAAAUUCUUCCCAACAUUAAUAAAUUAUUCGAAGGAUUAAUGAAUUAGAAGAAUUAGGAUAUAGUAUUGAGCUGAGUUUUUAUUUGAAAAUUGAAUUAAUAGUCAGGAUUAUUUUAAUUUUUUUAUUUUUUAUUUCUCGUGUCUAACAAUUUUUACUCUCUUAUUUCUUUUUCCGAUUUGUCUUUAUUUUAUUGGAGUUAGAAAAUCAUUCUUUUUUAUUUUAUUGGAGUUAGAAAAUCAUUCUUUUUUUUUCACACACUAAAAUCACCGGCAAUGGAUCCACCUCAUAACUAGUGGUGGUUUAAACCCCCAUUAGAGUUUUUUAAUUUUUAAAAAAAUUAAAAAAAUUACUUGAGUUACUAAUUAUCCCUAUUAAAUUUUAAAAAAUAGCCCAUUUAAUUUAAGGAUAAAGAUCCUCUCAUGAUUUAAUCAUAUUUGAGUUUUGAAGAAUCUUUUGACAUUUAUACAUUAUUAUUUAUGUAUGGUCAAAGGAUUUCUUUAUGAUACUGUAUGUAUUUUUACAGCAUUGAUAGUGGGAUUAAUGUGGACCAUUAGUUUUAAGUAUUUUAAUCUCAAUCGUCCAUUUAAUAUAAUGGAUAAUUAAAUAAUUAAUGAAAAUGUAGCACAUAGUCUACAAGUUGUUGGUAAAUAUUUUUUUAAUUUUAAAUUAAUAUUAAUUUGAGAAAAAGCCACACACAUCCCAAGGUUUGCUCAAAUAGUCAUAUAGAUCCACUUAGUUUCAUAAAUGGUAAUACAAACCCCUUAAUUUUCAUAAAUGACUAUUAUACGUUUUGAUUUACACAACCUAAAUAAAUAUACAUAUAGUAAUAGGAUAAAAAUAAUAAUAAAUAUCAUAUGAUACAAAUAAAAUAUUAAAAUAAGUAUAAUUAAUAAAAUAACAUGUAUAAUGAAUUUUUUUAAUGUUAAGUUAUUAUUAAUCUAUUCCGAUGGAUUAAAAUUUGACUUUAAGAUAGAUAUUAAUACAUAUAUAAUUAGAAAAGAUAUUGUAAAUAAAACACUAUAAAUUUUUAUAAAUUGUUGUGAGUGUUAGGUAUAACUAUUUCAAUAUUCUAUAUCAUACAUCAUACUUAAGAUGUUGAUUUUGUUGAAGUGUUAUGUUAUUAAACAUUAAGCUUUGCAUUUAUAAUGUGCCACAACUUUAAUGUAAAAUGUAAUAAAAAAUAUAAAGACGUUUUUUAGUAAUCAAUUGUAUUGUAAUAUGAUCAAAUUACUAUAGAGUUAUCAUAUUUUCACUGUUGAAUAUGCAUAUGGUUCUUAUUGAAUACGAAGGUGCAUCAUUACAGAUAGCACAAUUUCAUCAUCAUCAUCAUCUUGCACCAUUUAAAAAAAUGGAAAUAUAGACCUAAAUUAAGCUAAUGGAGGAAGACCAACAGUCCUGAAAAGUUGUUCCAUAAAUUUAAGCCUACAGUGAUACUUAUUUCUAAAUUGACACUCCAAGUAACUUAAGGUAUGUUCAGUAUCAUUUUGUAGCCCCUAUUUUCAUUUUCAUUUUAAUAGUACAGCUGUAAUAUAUGUUUGGUGAGCCUAAACCUUAAAUCAAAUUAUAAAAUGUAUUAAACAGAAUCUAUUUGAUAGUAAUAAAAGUUAAAACAUGUUAAACACGUUUUCUGUAAAUUACAAAACGAAUUAUAAAAUAAUAUACUACAUGUCUUCCAAAGUAUAGCAAAUAAAAUAUAUUUUACAAACACUAUUAUAGAAAGACAUAUAAGACAUAUGUUAAGUUAGUAGAUGUGAUUUUUCUUGUAUUCAUUAAGACAUGAAUUGAUACCCACACACACAUAUUGAGUACUUCUAUCUACCCCUAUUUAUUAAUAGAAGGGAAAUUAAAAUCGUAAUUACCCUGAUAUAUUAUGAAUUGAUAUAUCACAUAUAAAUAUCAGUGAAAAUUAAUUUUUAGAUUAAUGUUGUAAACCAUUUAUAGGCAUUUAAUUAAUCUAAGGUCAAAUGAAAUAUAUCACAUGAUAUUUCAUGCAGUAGUACAAUUUUUAACACUUUCAUAUAGUUUUGUAAGCUAAUAAGCCAAUGAAAUAUACUACAUGAGAAAUUGACGGGCUAUUAUUUAUAUUUCACUAUUGGACAAAUAUGGAUCUUCCAAUUCUCUUCCAUGGCCAUAAAUUAGAAUAAAAAAAAUCACAUAGUAGAGACUACAUCCAUUUGCAUGCUCUCAAAAUAGAUUUUGAAAUUAGUUUUGCAUGCUUUCAAAAUAAAUUUUGAAAUUAGUUUGGUUACAUGAUAAUCAAAUUAUCUUAUAACAUUAAUGACAUAAUUUAAGCACUAUUUUAACAAUUGUGAGUUUUACAUUAAAUCUUCAAAUUAAUUACAUAUUGUCACUCUUUCUUGUUUUGCUUGAAAUUUCUAUUUAAUAAAAUUACGAAAAGUUGAUCAUGAAUGGUUUAGGAUACAUAGGUAAGAUAAACUUUAAAAGUCUAAUGAAACAUUUCUAUGAAUGUGGGUUUCAUAUGCAUGUUCAUAUAUUUCAUUGAAAUCAUAUAUUUGAUUGAAUUUUGUGUUAUUAAACGAAAUAUGUUAUUCAAGUGAAACAUGUGGGAAUUUUUAUAACUCUAGGGGUCGUCAUUGAAAUUUCGCAUACUUCUACCAACUCCACGAUCCAACAGUUCACCCUGUUAACCGGUUAUGUUAUUUUUUUAUUAAUAAAUAUAAUGUACACUAUUGAUUAAAUCUAAUGGUUAAUAUUGCUUACACUAUUAAUGCUGUAAAAUAAUUACAGCAUCAUAGAGGGGCCCUUCUUGGAUUUACUUAAUUAUUAUAUUCUCAUUUAUUUACCACUAAUCAUAUAAAAUAUAUUUGCUGAAAUAAAAGAUCAAAUCAAGAGAAAAACCUGAUCCAAAAUUUAAACUUUAACUUUGAGAAAAUAAAAAUCCACACUUUAAUNNNNNNNNNNNNNNNNNNNNNNNNNNNNNNNNNNNNNNNNNNNNNNNNNNNNNNNNNNNNNNNNNNNNNNNNNNNNNNNNNNNNNNNNNNNNNNNNNNNNUACUGCAUACUUUAUUCAUAUUGAAGUUGCCUUUUUUAGGCAUUACAUGAACAAACUUUAAAAAAUAAUAAGAGCCAUUAUCCACCAAAUACUGCAGCAACUCUCCAGUAAGAAUAACCUAAAGACCAGGUAAGCAUAAUCUUGCAAAUAACACUACUAAACUUCCAAAAGACUAGGACCACAAAAAAGCACUUUAUUGACACAAUUAAGGAAUUUUCAAUAGGUUUUAUUAUUAUUUAAUUUAGUUCCAUUAAAUCUGUUAAAAUAAUCAUUACAAACUCACUAAUUUAUAAAAUUUUAGUUUUUAUAUUUUAUCAUUAUGUAAUUUAACCUCUGAUAAAUUGUUUUCAUGAAGCCGCCACUAAGUGCAUCACUCUUUCGAACCUUUUAGUCGUCAUAAAGAGUUAAGAGUAAGUUUUACAGAAUUAGGGCAUGCGAGAGCUCAUUGUAAAUGUAGAAAAUUCUUAUCUCCUAGACCUUCUUAAUUCUCUUUUAUCAUGAUAAUAUAUAUGCUUUUAUAUAAAAUUUAUUUACUUAUAAAAAGAAUUUUAAAAAGCGGCUCCACGCAUCGCUAUCAUGAUUCGGUAUAUCUUUAAUAAAGCUGAAGGCUUGCAGCUCUCAAACAGAAAUAAUAAUUUUGAUGACCUUUUUUUUUCCGGUAUAAAAGGAAAAAGAAAAAAGAAAGUAAUCAGCGGUUGCAUAAGUAACCCAAGUCAAUGAAUUUUGAAAUUUACGCCACCAUGUCACUUUUCUGGACUAAAACAUUGCGCAAAUAGAGCAUCAUUCUAUUAAUUAUGUCGCCGUCACUGACGUCAAGUCUGUAUCCAUAUUUGCAGCUGAAGCAGAUCAAGAACAGUCCUCUUAUCUUUAAUUUUAUACAUUUUAAUAUUUAUUGAAUUUAAGAUAUAUCAAUUAUGCGAUUUAUUAAAAUUAAAUAUUUAAUAUUUUUUAAUAUUUUAUUUUUAUAUAUAGACCCGACCUCAUAUUUUUUCUCUUUCCUAUGUUUUUUAUUUUCCAUUACACUCUCUUUCCCUCUUCUCUUCUCUUGCUUUUUUAAUCCCUCGCUUUGGUUUGAUUUUUUUUUCGCAAUUACAAAAAUUUCUUUACUCUCUCAAGAUUUGAUAUGUUGUCAUAUUUUUAUAAUUUCGUUUUCUACAGUUAAUUUAAUUUUACCCUCAUAAAUGAAUAUAUAUGAAUUAGAUUAGUCAGCCAAAAUGUAGAAAGAAGGAAGAACAGGGAAUCAACUUCUUUUUGAAGCCCUGCAACCACCUUUUAAAUUUAUGCUGCGUUUACUUUUUGGAUUGGAGUGGAAAUCCUGAGGAGUUGAAAUCCUUGGAUUAGGAGUGUGGAGUGGGAGUGAGAGUAGAAUGUUUACUUGGACUAAAUGAAAGUAUGGAUUGUCAAUCAGAAUCCCAAUUAUUUGUUUACCUUGUCUUGGAUUGGGAGUCAAUUGUUUUAAAUUACAAUUUUAUCCUUAUGUACAGAAUUAUAAUUUGUAA
rnacentral:lncRNA from 1 species